GGCAACCCUGACGGAGCAACGCCGCGUGGGGGAGGAAUGUCUGUGGAUUGUAAACCCCUUUUCUCAGGGAAGAAGUUCUGACGGUACCUGAGGAAUCAGCAUCGGCUAACUCCGUGCCAGCAGCCGCGGUAAGACGGAGGAUGCAAGCGUUAUCCGGAAUUAUUGGGCGUAAAGCGUCCGUAGGCGGUUUAUCAAGUCUGCCGUUAAAGACUGCAGCUUAACUGUGGGCGAGCGGUGGAAACUGAUGAACUAGAGUACGGUAGGGGUGGAGGGAAUUCCCAGUGUAGCAGUGAAAUGCGUAGAUAUUGGGAAGAACACCAGUGGCGAAGGCGCUCUACUGGGCCGUAACUGACGCUGAGGGACGAAAGCUAGGGGAGCG
rnacentral:rRNA from 1 species